rfam:Myotis brandtii contig168200, whole genome shotgun sequence.
GGUGGUUCUCAGGUGAUGCACCCCAGAAUUGAGCUCCCUCCUCUCUGGUUCCGGGUGUUACCAGAGAACAACA